UACGGAGGGUGCAAGCGUUGUUCGGAAUUAUUGGGCGUAAAGCGCGCGCAGGCGGUCUGGAAAGUCUAUGGGUGAAAUGCCGGGGCUCAACCCCGCGCAUGCCCAGGAUACUGUCAGACUGGAGACACGUAGAGGCAAGCGGAAUUUCGGGUGUAGCGGUGGAAUGCGUAGAUAUCCGAAAGAACACCGGAGGCGAAGGCGGCUUGCUGGGCGUGAUCUGACGCUGAGGCGCGAAAGUGUGGGGAGCGAACAGG
rnacentral:rRNA from 1 species